rnacentral:ncRNA from 1 species
CUCGCUUCUUUUGAUGCAACAGCUGCACUUAACACAACGGUAUCGCCAUAGCGAACUAACACUGCGCCAUUGGCUUGUUUGGCAAGCUGACCGAUUUCAACUUGCAGAGGGCGCCCGCCCCAAGUGGUUUUAAAAACUUGCUUUUCUGUCAUAACUUCUCCUUUUUCCUUUGACCAGUGCGA